rnacentral:misc_RNA from 1 species
GAAAUGCGAUAAGUAGUGUGAAUUGCAGAAUUCAGUGAAUCAUCGAAUCUUUGAACGCACAUUGCGCCCCUUGGUAUUCCAUGGGGCAUGCCUGUUCGAGCGUCAUUUGUACCCUCAAGCUCUGCUUGGUGUUGGGUGUUUGUCCCCGUCUCCGCGCGUGGACUAGCCCCAAAGUGAUUGGCAGCCGGCGUACUGGUCCCGGAGCGCAGCACAUGUCGCGCAAACGAGUGCCUUGGUACGGCGGCGUCCAUAAGCCCCUCUCUCACGCUCUUGACCUCGGAUCAGGUAGGGAUACCCGCUGAACUUAAGC